rnacentral:rRNA from 1 species
UGGGGAAUAUUGGGCAAUGGGCGAAAGCCUGACCCAGCAACGCCGCGUGAGUGAUGAAGGCCUUCGGGUUGUAAAACUCUUUGGACAGGGACGAAGAAAGUGACGGUACCUGUAGAACAAGCCACGGCUAACUACGUGCCAGCAGCCGCGGUAAUACGUAGGUGGCGAGCGUUAUCCGGAUUUACUGGGCGUAAAGGGUACGUAGGCGGUCUAUUAAGUCAGGUGUGAAAGCGUGAGGCUUAACCUCAUUAAGCACUUGAAACUGAUAGACUUGAGUGAAGGAGAGGAAAGUGGAAUUCCUAGUGUAGCGGUGAAAUGCGUAGAUAUUAGGAGGAAUACCGGUGGCGAAGGCGACUUUCUGGACUUUUACUGACGCUCAGGUACGAAAGCGUGGGGAGCAAACAGG